rnacentral:lncRNA from 1 species
ACUUUCAAUCACUCUAGCUACCUCUCUCUUCCCCUUUUUGAUCGCAGGAAGUUGCAAUAUUGUUAUUAUGUCACUGUAAUAGUUCUGUAUAAAUGCAACUUUACAUGUGUAUACUUAUACUUAAUUGUAACUAUUGCUCUUACCCAAACUACAGUCUUCUUUGGAGCAAACUGUCAGACAUUUGCGGUAGUAUACAGCUGAAAUGGAAUUUCCGUUCAACCAAACAGUAUACUUCAAGGCUAUUUCUCAGCGACGAGGUUAGCUCCAGGUAGCAGUAGCAGGCUGGAAGUAACACACAUGUGCAGUGUUUCAGUCGAAAACGAAUACCACCCAUUCAAAAUCGGUUAUAGGAUCUUGUCCAUAUGUCCAUAUUUUUGUAUGCAUGUGAAACAUGGACCAUGACAGCAGACAUUAAAAGAAGGAUACAGGCACUGGAGAUGAAAUGUUUCCGCAAACUCCUCAGUAUCUGGUAUAGAGAUCACAUAACCAACGAGGUAGUGAAAAUCAGAAUUGGAAACACCAUAGGGCCGUAUGAAGACCUCCUGACUUCAGUGAAAAGAUGCAAAGUAAAGUGGUAUGGGUAUGUCACAUGAUCAUUUGGACUGGCCAAGACUAUUCUACAUGGAACAGUACAAGGAGGGAGACGAAAAGGCAGGCAGAGGAAACGAUGGGAAGACAACAUUAACGAGUGACCUUGACUGAAACAUCAUACUUCGUAAAGCCAAGAACCACGAGGAGUGGAGGAAGCUGGUAGUAUAAAUCUUCAGUGGUGCCCCAAGGGUCAGCCAGACUGUGGGAUAGGUGAAGGUGAAGGUGAAGGAAGCUAAGAAUCAGAUAGUUAGACAUUAUAUUGGAUCAUUUAUCCUUUCCUUCAAAAGGAAUGUUGCUUUAUACUGUAGCACAUAAACAAUGCUUUUUAAUUGGCAAUAUUUCAGUUCAGUACGCUUGUUAUUAAUUUCAUCAAACAUUAAAAUGUAAAAGGGAGAAACACUGUCAUUUGAAAAUCAAAAUGUAAGUCAUAAAAAUUUCACUGUCUAACUAUCUGAAUCUUGUCAGGAUCCAUGUACGAGUUAGUGCAAUUCUUUUCUCUUCACUACAACCGCAUUGAUUUACUUUAAUAGCAUGUUACUAGGUACAUCAAUUGAUGAGAAAAAGCAGCAAAACGCUUUAAAUUUGUUGUAGUCUUAAAAUUAAAGUUGGAAGUUUCCUAAAAAGGGAAUUUUAGAACACUCCUUCAACUGACAUGCACGGAUGUUAUACUUAUGAAUUUCCAUACAUUAAUGUCUUUGUAAUGCAUGUUACCAAACAAAAAAAAGUAUCAUCAACCAUUCUUGUCAUUUCCUGUGCAAUUAUUUUCACAUCCUGGCUUAACAGUACAUAAACAGUGCUCUUUUAUUUUCAAUAUUUCAGAAAAAUGCAUUUGCAUUAUGAUACAUGCAGGUAUAGUUGGUCAAGUAAGAAUAUAUUUACAGCAUGCUCACUAUGAAUUGAUUAAAUCGCCAUUGAAUCUAAAAGGUAUGUUAUACCUCAUUGUAUAUUCAGAAGGAAAAAGUGUGAGGAUAGCUUUAAAAAAAAAAAAAAUCAUGAGUAUCCAUAAUGAUGUGAAUAUGUACAUGUUUGUUUGUUGCAUAUGAUUCUUCCUUGGUAUCAAAGCUGUAAUAAUUGCAUAUUUAUGAUUCAGCAUAAUACUUUGUUCAUUACAAAAAAAAAUAUGUCAUAAUUUUCCAAAACGGUAGUGUAAAGAAUAAUGUAAGAUUGAGGUAAGAUUGUUACAUAUAUUCUCUAUACGUAUCAACUAAAAUGUAAGUUUUCAAAUGAGAUACUAUUUUGUCCCCAGAUGAAAUAAGUAAUGGAUCUUUUUUGUUAAAUGUCAGCAAAUGAUCUAAAUGAACAUGUGUUCGGGUAUAUCAAAUCUUGUACAUGUAGUUUCUAUAGCUAAUAUAGUUUGGAGGACUUAAAGAUAGAAAAACUGCUGAUUGAUUAAUUACCAUUGUUUGUAUUGUUCACUAUAACCAGCAAGUAAAGGGACAUUUAGUAGAUGCCAAGAAAGUAUUUCCAAAGCAAUUACAUUUCUCUUAUCCUGUAAUGUAUUUUUUGCGUCAAUAAAAGCAAAUGUGAGGGUUGUCCACAUAACAUCACAACUACAGAACAGUUUAAUUGAAAUUAACAUACAUAUUACAUGUAUAUAUGUGUAUUAUGGAAUAACUUAGAAUAUUUCAUAAUUUGUUAUUAUUAUCCAGUUCAUUACAUUUUUACCAAUGUAUUUCUUCAAUAUUUCUACUUUUCCUCAGAGCAUAUGCUGUGAACUAAUGGAUAUUCCUUGUCAGUUCCAUCAUGUUAUGUCAAUGGGCUUACACUGUAUGCGUGUACAUGUCCUUUUUGCAAUGUACAUGUGCUACGAAAAUGUCAACAAUAUUGUUUGAGAUAUAAAAUAUAGAGUUAACAAGUGAAUUAUUCA